rnacentral:rRNA from 1 species
AUUGAACGCUGGCGGCAUGCCUUACACAUGCAAGUCGAACGGCAGCACGGGAGCAAUCCUGGUGGCGAGUGGCGAACGGGUGAGUAAUAUAUCGGAACGUGCCCGGUCGUGGGGGAUAACGUAGCGAAAGCUACGCUAAUACCGCAUACGAUCUACGGAUGAAAGCGGGGGAUCGCAAGACCUCGCGCGAUUGGAGCGGCCGAUAUCAGAUUAGGUAGUUGGUGAGGUAAAGGCUCACCAAGCCGACGAUCUGUAGCUGGUCUGAGAGGACGACCAGCCACACUGGGACUGAGACACGGCCCAGACUCCUACGGGAGGCAGCAGUGGGGAAUUUUGGACAAUGGGCGCAAGCCUGAUCCAGCAAUGCCGCGU